rnacentral:rRNA from 1 species
UACGGAGGUUGCAAGCGUUAUCCGGAUUCACUGGGUUUAAAGGGUGCGUAGGCGGGUAUGUAAGUCAGUGGUGAAAUACCGGAGCUUAACUUCGGAACUGCCAUUGAUACUAUAUAUCUUGAAUAUUGUGGAGGUAAGCGGAAUAUGUCAUGUAGCGGUGAAAUGCUUAGAGAUGACAUAGAACACAGAUUGCGAAGGCAGCUUGCUACGCAAAUAUUGACGCUGAGGCACGAAAGCGUGGGGAUCAAACAGG